AUGAACGCUAGCUACAGGCUUAACACAUGCAAGUCGAGGGGCAGCAUGGUCUUAGCUUGCUAAGGCCGAUGGCGACCGGCGCACGGGUGAGUAACACGUAUCCAACCUGCCGUCUACUCUUGGACAGCCUUCUGAAAGGAAGAUUAAUACAAGAUGGCAUCAUGAGUCCGCAUGUUCACAUGAUUAAAGGUAUUCCGGUAGACGAUGGGGAUGCGUUCCAUUAGAUAGUAGGCGGGGUAACGGCCCACCUAGUCUUCGAUGGAUAGGGGUUCUGAGAGGAAGGUCCCCCACAUUGGAACUGAGACACGGUCCAAACUCCUACGGGAGGCAGCAGUGAGGAAUAUUGGUCAAUGGGCGAGAGCCUGAACCAGCCAAGUAGCGUGAAGGAUGACUGCCCUAUGGGUUGUAAACUUCUUUUAUAAAGGAAUAAAGUCGGGUAUGGAUACCCGUUUGCAUGUACUUUAUGAAUAAGGAUCGGCUAACUCCGUGCCAGCAGCCGCGGUAAUACGGAGGAUCCGAGCGUUAUCCGGAUUUAUUGGGUUUAAAGGGAGCGUAGAUGGAUGUUUAAGUCAGUUGUGAAAGUUUGCGGCUCAACCGUAAAAUUGCAGUUGAUACUGGAUAUCUUGAGUGCAGUUGAGGCAGGCGGAAUUCGUGGUGUAGCGGUGAAAUGCUUAGAUAUCACGAAGAACUCCGAUUGCGAAGGCAGCCUGCUAAGCUGCAACUGACAUUGAGGCUCGAAAGUGUGGGUAUCAAACAGGAUUAGAUACCCUGGUAGUCCACACGGUAAACGAUGAAUACUCGCUGUUUGCGAUAUACUGCAAGCGGCCAAGCGAAAGCGUUAAGUAUUCCACCUGGGGAGUACGCCGGCAACGGUGAAACUCAAAGGAAUUGACGGGGGCCCGCACAAGCGGAGGAACAUGUGGUUUAAUUCGAUGAUACGCGAGGAACCUUACCCGGGCUUAAAUUGCAGAUGAAUUACGGUGAAAGCCGUAAGCCGCAAGGCAUCUGUGAAGGUGCUGCAUGGUUGUCGUCAGCUCGUGCCGUGAGGUGUCGGCUUAAGUGCCAUAACGAGCGCAACCCUUGUUGUCAGUUACUAACAGGUUCCGCUGAGGACUCUGACAAGACUGCCAUCGUAAGAUGUGAGGAAGGUGGGGAUGACGUCAAAUCAGCACGGCCCUUACGUCCGGGGCUACACACGUGUUACAAUGGGGGGUACAGAGGGCCGCUACCACGCGAGUGGAUGCCAAUCCCCAAAACCUCUCUCAGUUCGGACUGGAGUCUGCAACCCGACUCCACGAAGCUGGAUUCGCUAGUAAUCGCGCAUCAGCCACGGCGCGGUGAAUACGUUCCCGGGCCUUGUACACACCGCCCGUCACACCAUGGGAGCCGGUAACACCCGAAGUCAGUAGUCUAACCGCAAGGAGGACGCUGCCGAAGGUAGGAUUGGCGACUGGGGUG
rnacentral:rRNA from 1 species